ACCUGGACGAUCAUCAUUUACAAACAUAUAUUUACACAUUGUUGUGAAAUGCAUUGGGAAAAAGAAACUCGUAAAAUUUAUGGUUUAAGCAACCACCGCAGUUAGGUGCCAUCUUUUUAUAGCAAUGCAUUUUGAUUUUCUAUUUUGCAGUUUCGUUGUAGUAAACUUCAUGUCAAAAAGAAAGAAGUCUAUCUAGCGAUAUCACUGUCAUUGGGAAUGUUCUUAUCAGUUGCUCUACUUAACGACUUCGUCGCGUAUUUAGUACUAGAAAUGCCAGAAUAUACCACACAAAAGUUCACCUUCACAAUACUGAUGUGUAAUUGGAUUUCGUUUCAAUUGGCCAUCCUAGCCUUUAUCUAUAACUGUUUAGCUAUGAAAUGUGUCGCAAAGCAUAUAUCAGCUGUGUCACUUGUUUGGAAUUCGGUUUUAUUCAUCAUAAGAAUAUCACUAGACCUUGCAAUGAUUCGAUACAGAAAAGAGAAUUACGCGAUCGAAUGAAAAC